ACUGGACCACAGCUCCUAAUACAACUUUGUGGAUUUAUGUCCUCUGCUACUAACCUCAAAGCUGGAUACGUGUCCCCUUCCUGUAGUCCCGGAUACUCAAGAGGCUGAGGUAAGAAGAUGGCUUGAGCCCGGAAGGUCAAGGGUGUACUCGUGAGCCAUGAUUGUGCCAUUGCACUCCUGCCUGGGAAAAAGAAAGAAUUUAUAUUUGAGGAGAGCACGAAGAGGGAGGGGACCAAAGCUGGAGAGUCCCGAGUCCAGCGUUGUGUUGACGUAGAGAAACUUUCCCUCUCGGCCACGGAGACAGCUCCCCCGCCGUGCUUGAGCGGAGAUCUCCGGGCUUGGAGGAUCCGGCAGCUCUCCAUGCCCCUGCCCGAAGCCUGACCCGACUGCAUCUCUCAGUGAGUUAUUUGUGAUUCCAUCUGACAUACAUAGGAGAGACAGAGAUAGAAGAAUUCUGAUGGCAACUGUAUGAUAGAAGAUAUAUAAAGUCAAGUGUCCAUUUUCCU
rnacentral:lncRNA from 1 species